GUUCGCCGCCGGCUUCCGCUCGCUGGUGCAGCCCGCCUACCGGCUGCAGGCGUACCAGCUGGGCCUGGUCGAGGCACUCCGGGAGUGCCGCCGGCGCCUGGGGCUGGAUCCGGUGGCCGGCUCCACUCACCAGGUCAUCAGCUGGGGCCAGUCGGCCAUCGACGACGGGCUCACGUUCGAAGAUGUCAGCAUACCGGCUGGCGUGCUGUCCCACCUGGCGGGUAUCGCGGCGAGCCAGCGUCGGGCCCGGGACGAGCCGGGCCCGGGGGAGCGGCCGGCGCCGGCCAGGAGUCACUCGCCGCCCCCCGAC